UCCUGGCUCAGGAUGAACGCUGGCGGCGCGCCUAACACAUGCAAGUCGAACGGUUAAAGCACCUCCCGGGUGUGUAGUAAAGUGGCGAACGGCUGAGUAACACGUGGGCAACCUGCCCCUCGCUCCGGGACAGCCUCGGGAAACUGGGAGUAAUACCGGAUACUCCGCCACCCCCGCAUGGGGGAGGCGGGAAAGCCUUUACGGCGAGGGAUGGGCCCGCGGCCUGUUAGCUUGUUGGUGGGGUAACGGCCUACCAAGGCGAUUAUGGGUAGCUGGGUUGAGAGACCGACCAGCCAGAUUGGGACUGAGACACGGCCCAGACUCCUACGGGAGGCAGCAGUGGGGAAUCUUGCACAAUGGGCGAAAGCCUGAUGCAGCGACGCCGCGUGCGGGAUGAAGGCCUUCGGGUUGUAAACCGCUUUCAGUGGGGACGAGGCCGCGAGGUGACGGUACCCACAGAAGAAGCCCCGGCUAACUACGUGCCAGCCGCAGC
rnacentral:rRNA from 1 species